GGAUGCCCAGUCAAAUUUGAAUUCCAGAUAAACAGCAAAUAGUUUUUGAUUAUAACUAUGUCCCAUGUGACAUUUGGGACAUACUUACACUAUAAAACUAUUCCUUUAUCUGAAGUUCAGAUUUAACUGGGCAUC
rnacentral:miRNA from 1 species